AUUGAACGCUGGCGGCAGGCCUAACACAUGCAAGUCGAACGAGUGGCGGACGGGUGAGUAAUGUCUGGGAAACUGCCUGAUGGAGGGGGAUAACUACUGGAAACGGUAGCUAAUACCGCAUACCCUCGGAUGUGCCCAGAUGGGAUUAGCUUGUGGGUGGGGUAAAGGCUCACCUAGGCGACUAUCCCUAGCUGGUCUGAGAGGAUGACCAGCCACACUGGAACUGAGGCACGGUGCAGACUCCUACUGGAGGCAGCAGUGGGGAAUAUUGCAAAAUGGGCGAAAGCCUGAUGCAGCCAUGCCGCGUGUAUGAAGAAGGCCUUAGGGUUGUAAAGUACUUUCAGUGGGGAGGCGUUACCCGCAGAAGAAGCACAGGCUAACUCCGUGCCAGCAGCCGCGGUAAUAC
rnacentral:rRNA from 1 species